rnacentral:rRNA from 1 species
CGGCGAUUUCCGAAUGGGGAAACCCAGUGUGUUUCGACACACUAUCAUUAACUGAAUCCAUAGGUUAAUGAGGCGAACCGGGGGAACUGAAACAUCUAAGUACCCCGAGGAAAAGAAAUCAACCGAGAUUCCCCCAGUAGCGGCGAGCGAACGGGGAGCAGCCCAGAGCCUGAAUCAGUGUGUGUGUUAGUGGAAGCGUCUGGAAAGGCGUGCGAUACAGGGUGACAGCCCCGUACACAAAAAUGCACAUACUGUGAGCUCGAUGAGUAGGGCGGGACACGUGGUAUCCUGUCUGAAUAUGGGGGGACCAUCCUCCAAGGCUAAAUACUCCUGACUGACCGAUAGUGAACCAGUACCGUGAGGGAAAGGCGAAAAGAACCCCGGCGAGGGGAGUGAAAAAGAACCUGAAACCGUGUACGUACAAGCAGUGGGAGCCUCUUAAUGGGGUGACUGCGUACCUUUUGUAUAAUGGGUCAGCGACUUAUAUUCUGUAGCAAGGUUAACCGAAUAGGGGAGCCGAAGGGAAACCGAGUCUUAACUGGGCGUUAAGUUGCAGGGUAUAGACCCGAAACCCGGUGAUCUAGCCAUGGGCAGGUUGAAGGUUGGGUAACACUAACUGGAGGACCGAACCGACUAAUGUUGAAAAAUUAGCGGAUGACUUGUGGCUGGGGGUGAAAGGCCAAUCAAACCGGGAGAUAGCUGGUUCUCCCCGAAAGCUAUUUAGGUAGCGCCUCGUGAAUUCAUCUCCGGGGGUAGAGCACUGUUUCGGCAAGGGGGUCAUCCCGACUUACCAACCCGAUGCAAACUGCGAAUACCGGAGAAUGUUAUCACGGGAGACACACGGCGGGUGCUAACGUCCGUCGUGAAGAGGGAAACAACCCAGACCGCCAGCUAAGGUCCCAAAGUCAUGGUUAAGUGGGAAACGAUGUGGGAAGGCCCAGACAGCCAGGAUGUUGGCUUAGAAGCAGCCAUCAUUUAAAGAAAGCGUAAUAGCUCACUGGUCGAGUCGGCCUGCGCGGAAGAUGUAACGGGGCUAAACCAUGCACCGAAGCUGCGGCAGCGACACUAUGUGUUGUUGGGUAGGGGAGCGUUCUGUAAGCCUGUGAAGGUGUACUGUGAGGUAUGCUGGAGGUAUCAGAAGUGCGAAUGCUGACAUAAGUAACGAUAAAGCGGGUGAAAAGCCCGCUCGCCGGAAGACCAAGGGUUCCUGUCCAACGUUAAUCGGGGCAGGGUGAGUCGACCCCUAAGGCGAGGCCGAAAGGCGUAGUCGAUGGGAAACAGGUUAAUAUUCCUGUACUUGGUGUUACUGCGAAGGGGGGACGGAGAAGGCUAUGUUGGCCGGGCGACGGUUGUCCCGGUUUAAGCGUGUAGGCUGGUUUUCCAGGCAAAUCCGGAAAAUCAAGGCUGAGGCGUGAUGACGAGGCACUACGGUGCUGAAGCAACAAAUGCCCUGCUUCCAGGAAAAGCCUCUAAGCAUCAGGUAACAUCAAAUCGUACCCCAAACCGACACAGGUGGUCAGGUAGAGAAUACCAAGGCGCUUGAGAGAACUCGGGUGAAGGAACUAGGCAAAAUGGUGCCGUAACUUCGGGAGAAGGCACGCUGAUAUGUAGGUGAAGUCCCUUGCGGAUGGAGCUGAAAUCAGUCGAAGAUACCAGCUGGCUGCAACUGUUUAUUAAAAACACAGCACUGUGCAAACACGAAAGUGGACGUAUACGGUGUGACGCCUGCCCGGUGCCGGAAGGUUAAUUGAUGGGGUUAGCGGUAACGCGAAGCUCUUGAUCGAAGCCCCGGUAAACGGCGGCCGUAACUAUAACGGUCCUAAGGUAGCGAAAUUCCUUGUCGGGUAAGUUCCGACCUGCACGAAUGGCGUAAUGAUGGCCAGGCUGUCUCCACCCGAGACUCAGUGAAAUUGAACUCGCUGUGAAGAUGCAGUGUACCCGCGGCAAGACGGAAAGACCCCGUGAACCUUUACUAUAGCUUGACACUGAACAUUGAGCCUUGAUGUGUAGGAUAGGUGGGAGGCUUUGAAGUGUGG